UACGUAGGUGGCAAGCGUUAUCCGGAAUUAUUGGGCGUAAGGCGCGCGCAGGUGGUUUCUUAAGUCUGAUGUGAAAGCCCACGGCUCAACCGUGGAGGGUCAUUGGAAACUGGGAGACUUGAGUGCAGAAGAGGAAAGUGGAAUUCCAUGUGUAGCGGUGAAAUGCGUAGAGAUAUGGAGGAACACCAGUGGCGAAGGCGACUUUCUGGUCUGUAACUGACACUGAGGCGCGAAAGCGUGGGGAGCAAACAGG
rnacentral:rRNA from 1 species